CUAUACAUGACUCUGCGCAUAUCAAUAAGCGGAGGAAAAGAAACUAACAAGGAUUCCCCUAGUAACGGCGAGUGAAGCGGGAAGAGCUCAAAUUUGAAAUCUUAAAGGGUUUCCCUUUACGAAUUGUAGUUUAAAGAAGUGUUUUCUGUUGAGGUUUUGGUAAAAGUUCUUUGGAAUAGGACAUCAUAGAGGGUGAGAAUCCCGUAUUUGACCUUUACUUUCAACUUUGUGAUACACUUUCAAAGAGUCGGAUUGUUUGGGAAUGCAGUCCAAAAUGGGUGGUAAAUUUCAUCUAAAGUUAAAUAUUGGCGAGAGACCGAUAGCGAACAAGUACCGUGAGGGAAAGAUGAAAAGAACUUUGAAAAGAGAGUUAAACAGUACGUGAAAUUGUCAAAAGGGAAGCGUUUGACACCAGUGUUGUUUUUCUGAAAAUCAAUUAAAGAACUGUUUAUGCUAAGCUGUUUAGACUUUAUCAGCUAACUGUUUAGUUUUGAGCUUUUCUUUAAUGCACUUUUCCAGUUAACAAGUCAACAUCAAUUUCUUUUGCUGUAAAAAAGCUUGAGGAGGGUGGCUUGAGAUUCGUCUUAAGUGUUUAUAGCCUCUUGCCUAUGCAGUCGGAGAGAUUGAGGUCUGCAGCGUAGAUCCUUCGGGGCUAAAUGCAUUUGUGCUAAGUUAUAGCAUUUUAUAGACAACUUGUUGACUAUGAUUUGUCUUGUAGCUUACUCGCUUAUGUUAUUUUACCUACGCUUAGGAUGUUGAUCUACAGAGCGAGAGU
rnacentral:rRNA from 1 species